UAUCGGGGCAGGGUGAGUCGACCCCUAAGGCGAGGCCGAAAGGCGUAGUCGAUGGGAAACAGGUUAAUAUUCCUGUACUUGGUGUUACUGCGAAGGGGGGACGGAGAAGGCUAUGUUGGCCGGGCGACGGUUGUCCCGGUUUAAGCGUGUAGGCUGGUUUUCCAGGCAAAUCCGGAAAAUCAAGGCUGAGGCGUGAUGACGAGGCACUACGGUGCUGAAGCAACAAAUGCCCUGCUUCCAGGAAAAGCCUCUAAGCAUCAGGUAACAUCAAAUCGUACCCCAAACCGACACAGGUGGUCAGGUAGAGAAUACCAAGGCGCUUGAGAGAACUCGGGUGAAGGAACUAGGCAAAAUGGUGCCGUAACUUCGGGAGAAGGCACGCUGAUAUGUAGGUGAGGUCCCUCGCGGAUGGAGCUGAAAUCAGUCGAAGAUACCAGCUGGCUGCAACUGUUUAUUAAAAACACAGCACUGUGCAAACACGAAAGUGGACGUAUACGGUGUGACGCCUGCCCGGUGCCGGAAGGUUAAUUGAUGGGGUUAGCGCAAGCGAAGCUCUUGAUCGAAGCCCCGGUAAACGGCGGCCGUAACGAUAACGGUCCUAAGGUAGCGAAAUUCCUUGUCGGGUAAGUUCCGACCUGCACGAAUGGCGUAAUGAUGGCCAGGCUGUCUCCACCCGAGACUCAGUGAAAUUGAACUCGCUGUGAAGAUGCAGUGUACCCGCGGCAAGACGGAAAGACCCCGUGAACCUUUACUAUAGCUUGACACUGAACAUUGAGCCUUGAUGUGUAGGAUAGGUGGGAGGCUUUGAAGUGUGGACGCCAGUCUGCAUGGAGCCGACCUUGAAAUACCACCCUUUAAUGUUUGAUGUUCUAACGUUGACCCGUAAUCCGGGUUGCGGACAGUGUCUGGUGGGUAGUUUGACUGGGGCGGUCUCCUCCUAAAGAGUAACGGAGGAGCACGAAGGUUGGCUAAUCCUGGUCGGACAUCAGGAGGUUAGUGCAAUGGCAUAAGCCAGCUUGACUGCGAGCGUGACGGCGCGAGCAGGUGCGAAAGCAGGUCAUAGUGAUCCGGUGGUUCUGAAUGGAAGGGCCAUCGCUCAACGGAUAAAAGGUACUCCGGGGAUAACAGGCUGAUACCGCCCAAGAGUUCAUAUCGACGGCGGUGUUUGGCACCUCGAUGUCGGCUCAUCACAUCCUGGGGCUGAAGUAGGUCCCAAGGGUAUGGCUGUUCGCCAUUUAAAGUGGCACGCGAGCUGGGUUUAGAACGUCGUGAGACAGUUCGGUCCCUAUCUGCCGUGGGCGCUGGAGAACUGAGGGGGGCUGCUCCUAGUACGAGAGGACCGGAGUGGACGCAUCACUGGUGUUCGGGUUGUCAUGCCAAUGGCACUGCCCGGUAGCUAAAUGCGGAAGAGAUAAGUGCUGAAAGCAUCUAAGCACGAAACUUGCCCCGAAAUGAGUUCUCCCUGACCCUUUAAGGGUCCUGAAGGAACGUUGAAGACGAUGACGUUGAUAGGCCGGGUGUGUAAGCGCAGCGAUGCGUUGAGCUAACCGGUACUAAUGAACCGUGAGGCUUAACCUC
rnacentral:rRNA from 1 species